AGUCAAUAGAUACCCAGGUAGUCCCAGCUGUAAACGAUGCGCGUUAGGUGUAUCGGUGACCACGAGUCACCGAGGUGCCGAAGGGAAACCGUGAAACGUGCCGCCUGGGAAGUACGGUCGCAAGGCUGAAACUUAAAGGAAUUGGCGGGGGAGCACCACAACAGGUGGAGCCUGCGGUUUAAUCGGACUCAACGCCGGGAAGCUCACCGGAUAAGACAGCUGAAUGAUAGCCGGGUUGAAGACUCUGCUUGACUAGCUGAGAGGAGGUGCAUGGCCGUCGUCAGUUCGUACUGUGAAGCAUCCUGUUAAGUCAGGCAACGAGCGAGACCCACGCCAACAGUUGCCAGCAUGUCCUCCGGGAUGGUGGGGACACUGUUGGGACCGCCUCUGCUAAAGAGGAGGAAGGAAUGGGCAACGGUAGGUCAGCAUGCCCCGAAUUAUCCGGGCUACACGCGGGCUACAAUGGUCAGGACAAUGGGUAUCAACACCGAAAGGUGAAGGCAAUCUCCUAAACCUGUCCUUAGUUCGGAUUGUGGG
rnacentral:rRNA from 1 species